GUAAUCACUUGUCCUCUAAAUAGGGACCAGUAUGAACGGCUAAAUGAGGGCCUAACUGUCUCCUAUGGCCAAUCAAUGAAACUGAUCUUCCAGUAAAAAAGCUGGAAUAAGCCCACAAGACGAGAAGACCCUGUGGAGCUUUAAACUAAUAUACUACCACAUCAACCCUUAUACCAAAAUGGUUCAAUAGUAAAAAAUAGUGUAAAUUUUAAGUUGGGGCAACUACGGAACAAAAAAAACCUUCCAUGCAGCAGGAUAUAUUAUCCAUUAAAGGAUUACAAACCAAAAAUACUUUAUGCAAACGACCCAGUAACACUGAACAGCGAACCAAGUUACCCCAGGGAUAACAGCGCCAUCCUCUUCUAGAGUUCCCAUCGCCAAGAGGGUUUACGACCUCGAUGUUGGAUCAGGGCCCCCAGGCGGUGCAGCCGCUGCCAACGGUUCGUUUGUUCAACGAUUAAUGCCCUACGUGAUCU
rnacentral:rRNA from 1 species